rnacentral:lncRNA from 1 species
AUAUCUACCUAAUUGACUUUGGAUUGGCCCAGGCGAUAACUCUUUUGGAACAGCACGCUUGACCUCAACCAUUUUACCAUUAAGUUCAUGAAAUGUUUUGUAUAGUACUUUAUCAACUGCCUCCUCUGAUUCAUAGGUGAUGAAUCCAAAACCUCUAGGCCUUUGUGUGUUCUGGUCAUACAUCACCACAACAUCUGCGAUUUUCCCGAAUUGGUCAAAAUAACAGCACGCUUGACCUCAACCAUUUUACCAUUAAGUUCAUGAAAUGUUUUGUAUAGUACUUUAUCAACUGCCUCCUCUGAUUCAUAGGUGAUGAAUCCAAAACCUCUAGGCCUUUGUGUGUUCUGGUCAUACAUCACCACAACAUCGGUGGUCGUCCCGAAUUGGUCAAAGUACUUCUUGAAGUCACUCUCGGUGACGGAGGAUGCCAAACCUCCGACAAAAAUCU